UUCGUUUUGAAUUUAGAGUUCCCCCAGUGAGUUAUUAUCCUCGGAUUAACUUAUUUUCGGUUCUUCUCUUAGUGUCUACCAUGCUAGUAACCACAGAUGCUGAUCUUCCGUGCCUUUUGGCAGGUUAAACAUCAAUAGGAAUUUUUGUAAUGUCUAAGAAAACUGGUCACGUUAAGUGGUUCAACGAAAGUAAAGGUUUUGGCUUCAUCACUCCAACUGAUGGCAGUAAGGACGUUUUCGUUCACUUCUCUGCAAUCGUUAAUGAUGGAUUCAAAACUCUGGCAGAAGGCCAGCACGUUGAAUUUUCUAUUCAAGACAGCCCACGUGGCCCGUCUGCGGCGGACGUUGUUGCUCUGUAAUCAGCAAUAAUCGAUGUUGCUAAAAACCCGCAUAUUGCGGGUUUUUUUU
rnacentral:sRNA from 1 species